GCAAAGGCUGUCACUGCCAUCCAGCAGCCAAAAUGUUCUGCCCAUGAGCAUAGCAGGACAAACACCAUUCACUGUAAACAAGGACCAGCAUUAUUUACACUGAUAAAACAGAGAUCAAAGUGCUGCCUUCCCACACACCACCAAAGCAGAGAGUAAAAAGGAUGGUUCCCUCAGCUCAGAUUCAACAAGGUCCUGCCAGAUGUGCCAAGCUGUGAGGAGUGAGGCAUCUAUGUUUUUUGGAAGUUCACAGUGGAGGUAACAAAAGAGUAAAAAACAUACUUCCCAA
rnacentral:lncRNA from 1 species